rnacentral:rRNA from 1 species
CCUACGGGCGGCAGCAGUGAGGAAUAUUGGUCAAUGGGCGCGAGCCUGAACCAGCCAAGUAGCGUGAAGGAUGACUGCCCUACGGGUUGUAAACUUCUUUUAUACAAGAGUAAAGUGAGGCACGUGUGCCUUUUUGUAUGUACUUUAUGAAUAAGGAUCGGCUAACUCCGUGCCAGCAGCCGCGGUAAUACGGAGGAUCCGAGCGUUAUCCGGAUUUAUUGGGUUUAAAGGGAGCGUAGAUGGGUGGUUAAGUCAGUUGUGAAAGUUUGAGGCUCAACCGUAAAAUUGCAAUUGAUACUGGCAGGCUUGAGUACAGUUGAGGUAGGCGGAAUUCGUGGUGUAGCGGUGAAAUGCUUAGAUAUCACGAAGAACUCCGAUUGCGAAGGCAGCUUACUAAACUGCCACUGACAUUGAUGCUCGAAAGUGUGGGGAUCAAACAGGAUUAGAUACCCUUGUAGUC